rnacentral:rRNA from 1 species
UGGAAUGGCUUUAAACGACCCGUCUUGGAACACGGACCAAGGAGUCUAACAUCUAUGCGAGUGUUCGGGUGUCAAACCCUUGCGCGGAAUGAAAGUGAACGGAGGUAGGAAGGCUUACGCCUGCACUAUCGACCGAUCCUGAUGUCUUCGGAUGGAUUUGAGUAAGAGCAUAGCUGUUGGGACCCGAAAGAUGGUGAACUAUGCCUGAAUAGGGUGAAGCCAGAGGAAACUCUGGUGGAGGCUCGCAGCGGU